rnacentral:rRNA from 1 species
UAGGGAAUAUUGCGCAAUGGGCGAAAGCCUGACGCAGCGAUACCGCGUGAGUGAGGAAGGUCUUCGGAUUGUAAAGCUCUGUCGGGAUGGAAAAAUGACGUAUUGUCGAACAGGCGAUACGAGUGAUGGUACAUCCAAAGGAAGCACCGGCUAACUUCGUGCCAGCAGCCGCGGUAAUACGAAGGGUGCAAGCGUUGUUCGGAUUUAUUGGGCGUAAAGCGCGCGCAGGCGGGUAAUUAAGUCAGGUGUGAAAUCUCAGGGCUCAACCCUGAAACUGCGCCUGAAACUGGUUAUCUAGAAUGUCGGAGGGGGAAGGGGAAUUUCGCAUGUAGGGGUAAAAUCCGUAGAUAUGCGAAGGAAUACCAGAGGCGAAGGCGCCUUCCUGGACGACAAUUGACGCUGAGGCGCGAAAGCGUGGGGAGCAAACAGG